GCGAAGGUGGCGGAAUUGGUAGACGCGCUAGCUUCAGGCGUUAGUGUCCUUACGGACGCGGGGGUUCAAGCCCCCCCCCUCGCA
rnacentral:tRNA from 1 species